GAGAGAGAGAGAGAGAGAGAGAGAGAGAGAGAGAGAGAGAGAAUUGAUAUGGGGCCGAGGCAAGCACCUGAGAAACACCUGCCGUGGGAACCAUGGUCACCCAAGUCUCUGACAAAGGUCACCUGGCUGUAAUGCUGACUUAAGGGGCCACUUUUCCUGCCAUAUCUCUGGGGGUGGGAAUGGGAGUGAAGGGAUUCGGUAGCUGUUUUCUUUCCCUCAUUUUACAUUUAUUUCAUGCUAGCUUACACAGUAGGUGAUCUGGCAGGCUGAUGAUCUGGAAAGUUCUGACUCUGGAGAAUAUGCAUUAAAAAAAAACGCGAGAACUGAGGCCAUGCAGGGCAGAAGAGCAUUGUCAAGGGAAGACACCGAUGAAGUGUUAUGACUGACCCUGAUGCCAACUUGAAGGCAAGGGCAAACCUGUGAUUUUGUCCUAGCAACCGCAAGCUGCAAUUUACAAAGGAUGGCCACCUGAUCACCUCUGAAAGCCUGUUAGCAUAGCUCCUGGAGAGGGGAGCAGAAUGCAAGGGUCAGCCACACAGCUGGCUGCAGAAAUGGCAUUGACACCACCGCCAACAUGAACCAUGACAGCAGCUCUGGCCCACUCCAGAUCAGAGGCUGGCCUGAAAGACCGGACCAGCUGUCCCCCAGCCAAUCAGAAGCAGAGGAAAACAGCUGUCUCUAAGUCCCUGACUGAGAUGGAAGUUGGUAGGGUGGCCUAGAGUUCACCUCAGGCCUGAUCCUGCUGGAGCUCAGGGGUAAGGGAUCAGGGAUCAGGCUAAUAAAUUAUCUAAGGUGAAAGAAAUAAAAGACCCAAGAAGUGAGUAUGGGACAGUCCAGUCCUCAGAAAGCCUAUGCAAGUGUCCAAGUGACAAGGUAAAUGUCACAUCUGGCACACACUAGGUGUUAGUGGCUUUCUGUUGAAUUAAUGUACUCAUUAGCAAAUCCUUGAGCUCGUA